CCUACGGGUGGCAGCAGUGAGGAAUAUUCGUCAAUGGACGAGAGUCUGAACCAGCCAAGUAGCGUGAAGGAUGACUGCCCUAUGGGUUGUAAACUUCUUUUAUAGAGGAAUAAAACGAGGCACGUGUGCCUUUUUGCAUGUACUUUAUGAUUAAGGAUCGGCUAACUCCGUGCCAGCAGCCGGGGUAAUAUGGAGGAUCGGAGCGUUAACCGGUUUUAGUGGGUUGAAAGGGAGCGUAGAUGGGUUGUUAAGUCAGUUGUGAAAGUUUGCGGCUCAACCGUAAAAUUGCAAUUGAUACUGGCAGUCUUGAGUACAGGUGAGGUAGGCGGAAUUCGUGGUGUAGCGGUGAAAUGCGUAGAUAUAACGAAGAACCCCGAUUGCGAAGGCAGCUUACUAGACUGUAACUGACAUUGAGGCUCGAAAGUGUGGGUAUCAAACAGGAUUAGAUACCCUAGUAGUC
rnacentral:rRNA from 1 species